rnacentral:rRNA from 1 species
UUGGAGGGCAAGUCUGGUGCCAGCAGCCGCGGUAAUUCCAGCUCCAAUAGCGUAUAUUAAAGUUGUUGCAGUUAAAAAGCUCGUAGUUGAAUUUCGGGAUCAAUAUGUCGGUCGUGCCUCGGUACGUACUGGCAUCAUUGGUUUCUCCCUUCUGAUGAACCAUGAUGCCAUUAAUUUGGUGUCGUGGGGAAUCAGGACUGUUACUUUGAAAAAAUUAGAGUGUUUAAAGCAGGC